GUAAGCGACACCUUAGUCUUUGUUUAGUGAAGAAAAGUGAAAAGAUGUAGGUGUCUGUCUGUCUUUAUCUCUGGCAAGCACUGCUCCUGCUCUCUGACUGUGAGUGAGUGCUGAGCGGAAGAGGAAAUAGUUCCUGUCCUGCACAGCUAUACAGCUCAUUUAUUUCAUUUCGACACUUGUGAUGUGCGGUUACUUAUUUCCAAGCCAACCUGCUAUUUUAAAAACUACUUUGAAAGAAGCAUUUAUAAUCGAUAUGAUAGCACGAGGAUCUAUCCUGAUGAAUGAAGGAAUCAGAGUAUCGCGGUUUGAAGAUCCCUCCGCCGCCCAGCUGCACUAACUCCAGCAGCGGCGACUCACACUCACAGAGCCUGCUCACGCUGCACUCCUCCGCGUGUGAGCGUGUCUACUCUCCCGCUUAAAAACAACCCUCAAACCCACCCGAGAGGCUCAAACAAGACUCUGCUCUGCUGAAGUCGAUAGCUGUGCGUGUGGUGACUAAAUAUGAAGGCCAAGCUUCAUUCCGACGGGCCUCAGAGUUGCUCCAACAGCGACGAGGAGGAGACGGACAGCCUCAGCGACAGCCAGUAUAUCGUUGUCAAGCUUGAAGAUGAAGAGGAAGAUCCAGAAACCGAGAUGGAUCUGAGUAUAUUCGCUCCUGUCGAGUCCUCGGAGUGUGAGGAGGAGGAAGAGGAUGAAGGGGAGCUCUCAGAGUCGUCCAGUGUUUCUAGCUGGAGAAGGACAGACACCAGAGAGAGAGAUAACCCGGAGGAUCCAGCGCCCCUUGAGCAACAGUCUUCCAGGAGGUGUUUAAAAGGACAGCGACGGAGCCGACAGACCUUUCUGGCUGCGCAGAGACACAAGCAGAGUCUGGACUGUAGUGCAGCAAGCAGGGCCGUGAAUGUCGGACUCCCGUCUGAGAAUCACACAUUUUGCCAAGCUGCUCCUCCGUUUGAUUCAGCCCGAGGUCCUGUAGAGACGUCUGGACUGGACACAGCAAUCAGCCCUUUAGCUGCCAUGGAGCCUCCUGUAUUUCCAAAUGCACCAGUACAGAGCACAUCUGUCGUCGGGGAGGAUCAGCAGAAUAUACUACUCGAGGUCCUGAACCAUUGUAGGUUCCUGCAUGCAGCAGUGCAGAGGCUUGAGCAGAAGAUUGACAGACAGAUGUCAAAUGAGAGAAGGGCGUCUCUGCGUGUUGAAGAAAGGCAGCUGUCCUGGUCUUUGGCCCAGAGACUUGAUCCACCAGUCCAGAGAAACCCACGCUGGAUCCCUCCCUGGAAACGAGGGCUGGACAGGGCGGAUCUUCAGCAGGCUGACAACAGCAGCCCUCAGCCGGGCAAACCUCCUGGCGGCGGACGAGGCAGAGGCAGGGGCAGAGGACGGGGUCGCAGGGGGCGCGGUAACGGAUCCCAGCGCCAGUCUCAAACUCCUGAUCCUGCUUCACUCAUGUCAAAGCCCAAUGGAGAAGAGGUCUGCACUGCAUCCACAGAUGACCCCCAGCCGUCCCAGGUAAUGAAGGACAGCUCUCCGGCUAACACAGGCUCAAAGCUUCAGCAGAAAAGAAAGAAAUCCUUUACUCAGGUGGACGGGGAGGAUGAAAAUGAACUGGAGAAGAUGCCCAAGAGUAAAGAGGCCACACUCGAAGUUCAGGUUGACAGCAAAGUAAUGAUCGGAAGCCCCUUGAGGAAGGUGUGGAUCCCGCUGUCUGUGUACAAGGAGGUGUUUAAGGAGCUGGAGCCCCAGAAGGCUGUAGUGCCUGUGCUUUACGCUCUCUUCCCCAUCAGCACUCUGUCCUGCAGUGCCGUCACAGGAAACCCUGCAAAAGGCAUCCAGCAACUCGACCCCAACAAAAUAGAAGCCCUUCGAGAGUUUCUUGCUGAGAUGUACCCACAGUUUGACGUCGGCGUGAGGGGCGUGUCGUGGGCACAGUGUCUUGGAGUGAUAAACAACAUCACCAAAGACCUCAAGAAACAAGCGGAAAAAACAUCACAUCGGCCAACAGAGGUCGGUUACACAAGAAAUGAUUGUUCAUACUCUUGAGGAUCUGACACUCAUACUGAAUGUGCAACGAUGUAACCAGUUUUAUUCACUUCAAUCAAUCGUCUGAACUGAUACAGUGUUCAUAACUGAAGUGCAAGUCCCUGUUUUGACAACAGCUGUCUUUUGUUCUCUCUUCUAUAGCUGCUAAGUUUCAAUGGAGAGAAAGGUUUUGGAUGUGUAAUAUAUUAACAAUUCCUUUAUUCUUAAUAAAUCCAUAUAUUAACCUUUUUUUUUUUUUUGUUUGUUUAAACAUCUAUAUAUUAAUGUACAUUUUAU
ensembl:lncRNA uncharacterized LOC107558914